rnacentral:lncRNA from 1 species
UAAUUUUCCGUGGAUAUACCGGCAUUUCCUAGCAUAAGUGUCAAAAAAAUUUGAUGGUUGAUAUUCGAGAUUCAAAUUCGAAUCCUAAUUGAUUCAUAUUUUCAGCUAAAUUUAUUUAUAAAUGAAAUAAACAAAGUGGAUAGCAUGUUUUUUGAAGUUUAUUUAUUUUUUGUUCUCUUAGGCUGCGUUUGGUUCGGGUAUAAAUAAGAACUGCUAGUUUUAGGGAUAGGUACAAGUUCAGGUAUAAGCAGGAACUAGACCAAUUUUGCAUUUGGAUGAAAAUUGGGUUGUUCCUAAGAAUAAAGUAAAUAGUGUUUCGAUGGUUAGAUUGGAACAAGAAGAAUAAGAGUUGUAAUUUGAAAUUAAAAUUAUAUUAUGUAAUUAAUAGUAAUAAAAAUAUUACUUAAAAAUAAAUAAGAAAUUAAUUAUUAAUAAUUAAUUAUAAAUAAUAAAUUAAUAA